UUGCUAUCUGCGAUAUGGAAGAUUCGAACCUGCCGCAGGUUCGGGUCUCACGUAGUGAGACAGCGGAGCCGCUUGCGGCGACGGCCCGAAGGGCGAGCAAAGCGAGUCAUCCUGCACGACCCACCA
rnacentral:sRNA from 2 species